ACUGUUGUGUGCUCGAGCUUUAUGUGACUCAUUAUCAAAGCAGAUCUUUCUCCUGUAUCAACCUCCACAUAUUUGUUUAUCAGUUCUCAUCCAUCUUUAUCAUGUGACAUCACCACAGUGACGGACAUUAAAGGGGUUCGAUGUGAACAUUAAGCCUCCAUUCAGCAGCGAGCAGCUCAUCAGGCACCGUAAACACACCUCCUCAUUGGCAUCACCAUGGUAACUGUGCCAGUUCUGCUGAUCCUCAUCUUCUCAGCUUCUACAUCUCCAGUCCACAGUCACCUCACUUCAUUUCAUUUCGUUCCGGGUCGCAUGAAUCAGACUGAGGCUCGACAAGCUUGCAGAGAUAAAUACACCGACCUCGUCACUGUGUACUCUGAUAAAGACAACACUGAACUUGCUAAACUGGUGAUAAAGGAUGGUGUGGGUUCUGGCUGGAUCGGACUCUCUCGCAAUAAUUUAAGUGAGAAAUGGUCUAAUGGUGAUCCUGUAACAUACAGAAAUCUGACAGGGGAUUGUGGGACAUCGAGCUGCUGUGCUACUAUGAAGGCCGAUGGUUUAUGGGAAAGUCUUCAGUGCACAGUGACAAGACAUUUCAUGUGCUAUG